ACCCUAGCCAUCGGGCCAACUGAUAGCUAUAUCCGUAGUGUCAGGUUCGCCUGACUAUGAUCGUAGAGGCAGAGUGGAAUAGGCGUUUAGGACGCGGGUUCAAUUCCCGCCGCCUCCACCACAAGCACACCGGCCGCCAAGUACCGCAGGCGGAUCUCAAGAGCGACGGGCUUCGUUGGGCUAGGCGCUGUUCCGGUGUGCUUUUGAUGGGGGCGACUUGGGUUCGACUAGGCGUAAUAAAGACUAGGCUGCGAUUAGGCUGAGCUACGGCCUUGAUAGUGCAAAUUCACAAAUGCCAACGACAACGUUGACAUGGGUGCGGUGCGCCUCGCGGCGUAACCAUCCGGGGCUCGGGGAAGCCUAGCAACAGAAACGGCACCUU
rnacentral:tmRNA from 1 species